rnacentral:rRNA from 1 species
AGUGAACGCUGGCGGUAGGCCUAACACAUGCAAGUCGAACGGCAGCACAGUAAGAGCUUGCUCUUACGGGUGGCGAGUGGCGGACGGGUGAGGAAUACAUCGGAAUCUACUUUUUCGUGGGGGAUAACGUAGGGAAACUUACGCUAAUACCGCAUACGACCUACGGGUGAAAGCAGGGGAUCUUCGGACCUUGCGCGAUUGAAUGAGCCGAUGUCGGAUUAGCUAGUUGGCGGGGUAAAGGCCCACCAAGGCGACGAUCCGUAGCUGGUCUGAGAGGAUGAGCAGCCCCUAGGGAACGAGGAAACGUCCCAACAUCCGCAGGGAGGCACGGGGGGGAAUUUUUGGAAAAGGGGGGGUGGCCUAUCCCACCCAAGCGGGGGGGGGGAAAAGGGCCUUGGGUUUGUAAAGCCUUUUUGUUGGAAAAGAAAAAAAGCAGUUUAACCCCCCGCUUUUUGACGGUACCCCAAAAAAAAACCCCCGCUAACUUUCUG